rnacentral:rRNA from 1 species
GACGAACGCUGGCGGCGUGCUUAACACAUGCAAGUCGAACGGAAAGGCCCCCAUCUUGGUGGGGGUGCUCGAGUGGCGAACGGGUGAGUAACACGUGGGUGAUCUGCCCUGUACUUCGGGAUAAGCUUGGGAAACUGGGUCUAAUACCGGAUAGGACCAUGGUUUAGUGUCUCAUGGUGGAAAGAUUAUUGUUUUGGUGCAGGAUGAGCUCGCGGCCUAUCAGCUUGUUGGUGGGGUAAUGGCCUACCAAGGCGUCGACGGGUAGCCGGCCUGAGAGGGUGGACGGCCACAUUGGGACUGAGAUACGGCCCAGACUCCUACGGGAGGCAGCAGUGGGGAAUAUUGCACAAUGGGCGCAAGCCUGAUGCAGCGACGCCGCGUGGGGGAUGACGGCCUUCGGGUUGUAAACUCCUUUCGUUAGGGACGAAGCCGCACUUUUUUUGGGUGUGGUGACGGUACCUUUGUUAAGAAGCACCGGCCAACUACGUG